rnacentral:rRNA from 1 species
UACGAUGAAGAGUUUGAUCCUGGCUCAGGAUGAACGCUAGCGGCAGGCCUAACACAUGCAAGUCGAGGGGUAGAAGGAGCUUGCUCCUUUGAGACCGGCGCACGGGUGCGUAACGCGUAUGCAAUCUACCUUGUACAGAGGGAUAGCCCAGAGAAAUUUGGAUUAAUACCUCAUGGCGUAAUUGAGUGGCAUCACUUAAUUACUAAAGUUCCAACGGUACAAGAUGAGCAUGCGUCCUAUUAGCUAGUUGGUGUGGUAACGGCACACCAAGGCGACGAUAGGUAGGGGUCCUGAGAGGGAGAUCCCCCACACUGGUACUGAGACACGGACCAGACUCCUACGGGAGGCAGCAGUGAGGAAUAUUGGUCAAUGGACGCAAGUCUGAACCAGCCAUGCCGCGUGCAGGAAGACGGCCCUAUGGGUUGUAAACUGCUUUUAUACGGGAAGAAACACCGGUUCGUGAACCGGCUUGACGGUACCGUAAGAAUAAGGAUCGGCUAACUCCGUGCCAGCAGCCGCGGUAAUACGGAGGAUCCAAGCGUUAUCCGGAAUCAUUGGGUUUAAA